GGGAGGAUAAUAGCUAAUCGAUAAAGUAAGCUGAUAAACGAUAAAGAUGAGGUGGGAUCUAGUAUUUCAGUCGAAUUGAAGUUCUUAGCCGAUAAGGAGAGUUCAAUCCAAGAUAAUCUACUUCAAGAUUUAUUACAGCCGUUGAUAAUGACCAUCAGAGCCGAUCAAGAUAGAAUCUAGCGUCAAGUCAACCGACGAUAAGUAUUGAAGCCAAAUCAAGAUAGAGUCACGGAGCCAAGAGGAGGCCG
rnacentral:lncRNA from 1 species